CAGAUAGGACUGAGGAUAACAUUGGGGUCCCGGCGGUAUUUGGACAAGAGUUGGAAGACGCUCCUGGAUGGACUGAGCCCAAAAGGACAAACCCCAAUGUGGUCCCGGCCAUACUUGGACAAGGUCUGAAAGUGUGGCUGAUAGGAGACAGCUACAUCCGACGUGGGGAAGAGAGAGCCAGACAGACCACAGGGAGGAACCUGGGACUAGAUGGCCGUGUGUGGUGGUUUGGCUGGGGUGGUCUGAGAUGGAGGAACCUUCUUCCCUUUUUUCAUCAGUCUUUGAGAGGAAGAACAUUCCCGGAUGUCCUGCUGA